rnacentral:rRNA from 1 species
GUCUGAGGUUAGUAAAACACUUUCAGCAAGGGAAAAAAUUAUAUAAAUAAUACUUAUAUUAACUGAUAUUACCUGCAAAAGAAGUACCGGCUAACUCCGUGCCAGCAGCCGCGGUAAUACGGAGGGUACAAGCGUUAAUCGGAAUUAUUGGGCGUAAAGAGUACGUACGGUGGUAUAUUAAGUCAGAUGUGAAAUACUUAAGCUUAACUUAAGAACUGCAUUUGAAACUAAUAAACUAGAGUUUUAUAGAGGGGAGUAGAAUUCCAAGUGUAGCGGUGAAAUGCGUAGAUAUUUGGAGGAAUACCAGAGGCGAAGGCGACUCCCUGGGUAAUAACUGACACUGAGGUACGAAAGCUUGGGGAGCAAACAGGAUUAGAUACCCUGGUAGUCCAUGCUGUAAACGAUGUCAAUUUGAAGAUUGUAAUAUUAUUAUUUUUAUAAUUUUCGUAGCUAACGCAUUAAAUUGACCGCCUGGGGAUUACGACCGCAAGGUUAAAACUCAAAUGAAUUGACGGGGACCCGCACAAGCGGUGGAGCAUGUGGUUUAAUUCGAUACCAACGCGAAAAACCUUACUACUCUUGACCUCUAUAAGUAAUAAACGCCGACAUGUUUCACAUCUGUUUCGA